AGAUGAAUAAUCAAGGACAUGGGAAUAGAGUGAAAGAUUCGUGGUCGAUAAAUCAAGGAUCUCCGGGUGGUGCAGCUAGCAACGUCAAUCCUAUGAUGGAUCAAGAGGAUAUCGUUAUUUAAAAAAAAGGAUUACAAGUGUCAUUUAAAAGGCUUUGCUUUACAUGUGCACUAUCGGGAUAUUUAUUAUUAGCUAACAUAUCAAGUUGAUUAGCUAUGGUGCUUAAGAUUUGGUUUGAAUAGUUAUUUUGUUGUAUGAAUUUUUUAUGUCUUCAUUUUCAAUUCGAUCUUUUGAAUUUCUAUUUUUCUUAAAAGGGUCGGCUGUUAUUUCCCCUUUAUAGGAUUGUAUGGUCAUAGUUUGUAAUGGUGGGUGAACAACAGUUAUCGUAGUAUUAUUAUGUAAACUCCAUUUCUUAUUUAGACUA